UUCGGAAUAUUCGGCAAUGGGCGAAAGCCUGACCGAGCGACGCCGCGUGCGGGAUGAAGGCCCUCUGGGUUGUAAACCGCUGUCACAGGUGAGCAAAUCAUUCUGGAUGAAUAAGCCAGGAUGUUGAGUUAAGCUUGAGAGGAAGCCCCCGCUAAUCACGUGCCAGCAGCGGCGGUAAUACGUGAGGGGCGAACGUUGUUCGGUGUCACUGGGCUUAAAGGGUGCGUAGGUGGUUACGUAAGUAACGUGUGAAAGCCCUCGGCUUACCCGGGGAAUUGCGCGUUAUACUGCGUGACUUGAGGAUUUCAGGGGAAAGGGGAACUCCAGGUGUAGCGGUGAAAUGCGCAGAUAUCUGGGGGAAGGCCGGCGGCGAAGGCGCCUUUCUGGGAAAUUCCUGACACUGAGGCACGAAAGCGUGGGGAGCAAACAGGAUUAGAUACCCCUGUAGUCC
rnacentral:rRNA from 1 species